UACGUAGGGGGCAAGCGUUGUCCGGAAUCAUUGGGCGUAAAGAGCGUGUCGGCGGCCCGAUAAGUCCGCCGUGAAAGUCCAGGGCUCAACCCUGGGAUGCCGGUGGAAACUGUCGGGCUAGAGUCCGGAAGAGGCGAGUGGAAUUCCUGGUGUAGCGGUGAAAUGCGCAGAUAUCAGGAGGAACACCAAUGGCGAAGGCAGCUCGCUGGGACGGUACUGACGCUGAGACGCGAAAGCGUGGGGAGCAAACAGG
rnacentral:rRNA from 1 species